rnacentral:rRNA from 1 species
AUUGAACGCUAGCGGGAUGCUUUACACAUGCAUGUCGACCGUGUGGCUUAUGGGUGAGUAAUAUAUGUGUACGUGCCCAUUAGCGGGGGAUCACUACUUGAUAGAGUGGCUAAUACCGCAUACUCUUGGAUCGGCCGUUAUCGGAUUAGCGAGUUGGCGGGGUAAAGGCUCACCAAGGCAACGAUCCGUUGCUGGUUUGAGAGUACGACGAGACACACUGGGACUGAGACACGGCCCAGACUCGUACGGGGGGCAGCAGUGGGGAAUUUUGGAAAAUGGAGGAAACCCUGAUCCAGCCAUCCCGCGUGUAGGAGAAGGCAUUCAGGUUGUAAAGUACUUUUGGCAGAGAAGCGGUAUCUGCCGAAUAUGCAUCGGCUAACUACGUGCCAGCAGCCGCGGUAAUAC